ncrna:unclassified sequences nadA RNA
GGCUGCAACAUCCCCGUGAGCGGGGUAAGCCGGUUUUCCGGCGAGCAGUGCGCUCACUGCAGUC